GUUGAUGCUGCCAAAUUUUUAUUGCUCAAUCAGAUGGAUUCACCAGCGCUAUUCUUUGAAAUUGAUUUAGAGGAAUGCCCAACAACGUCUUCGACUCCCAUAAACGAACAAUUGACAUUAAAACGAAGAAGUAUUUCUGGUUGCUAAACCUCAGAGGCAAGCUUCUCAAAGCAAAAUGUAAGCAAUUUGCUUGUAGAUGGAAACGUGGUUUUUAACAUAUUCAAAACUAUUUCAACCCAACUAGAAGAAUUGACUUCAAGAGUUCGUAAUAUGUAAAAGAAGAAGUACAGCUUUAUGAAAGAAAAUAUAAUUCAAAAAAACGAAGAAAUGGCCCAACAAAAGAACGGUUGCAAAGGCAAGGUGCUAAUUCGUAAAGUUCACCAAUCAGUAUGCCAACUGACUCACGAAGAAAUCGUCAAUGCCCAAGCUGAAAUUGCUUCCCCCUUACCCAUAAGAACAUUAGCUGCAGCUUUCGAAUUGGACGGGAAACCAAAAUGCGAGGAAUUUGCUACAUCAACGGUUAGUAAUACAUAUAUAAGUUAGUGGAUCGACCCUCAUCUCAACUCCCCUAAAGGCAUCAUUGAAUCCGCUCGUGUCUUUUUCUUCAUUAUUACCAUUCAUAAUCUAAUUACGCUUAGCUGUAGUAAUUCUAAAAGAAAAUCAUAUAUGUAAAUGACACCCUACAACAACAAUUAGCAAUUGAUACUGC